GUCCACGCCGUAAACGAUGGGUGCUAGGUGUCGCGGGCUUUGACCCCUGCGGUGCCGUAGCUAACGCAUUAAGCACCCCGCCUGGGGAGUACGGCCGCAAGGCUAAAACUCAAAGGAAUUGACGGGGGCCCGCACAAGCGGUGGAGCAUGUGGUUCAAUUCGACGCAACGCGCAGAACCUUACCUGGGCUAGAAAAUGUAGGAACCUGGUCGAAAGAUCGGGGUGCUCUUCGGAGAACCUGCAGUUAGGUGCUGCAUGGCUGUCGU
rnacentral:rRNA from 1 species